rnacentral:rRNA from 1 species
ACGAACGCUGGCGGCGUGCCUCAUACAUGCAAGUAGAACGCUGAAGGAGGAGCUUGCUUCUCCGGAUGAGUUGCGAACGGGUGAGUAACGCGUAGGUAACCUGCCUGGUAGCGGGGGAUAACUAUUGGAAACGAUAGCUAAUACCGCAUAACAGUAGAUGUUGCAUGACAUUUGCUUAAAAGGUGCAAUUGCAUCACUACCAGAUGGACCUGCGUUGUAUUAGCUAGUUGGUGAGGUAACGGCUCACCAAGGCGACGAUACAUAGCCGACCUGAGAGGGUGAUCGGCCACACUGGGACUGAGACACGGCCCAGACUCCUACGGGAGGCAGCAGUAGGGAAUCUUCGGCAAUGGACGGAAGUCUGACCGAGCAACGCCGCGUGAGUGAAGAAGGUUUUCGGAUCGUAAAGCUCUGUUGUAAGAGAAGAACGAGUGUGAGAGUGGAAAGUUCACACUGUGACGGUAUCUUACCAGGAAGGGACGGCUAACUACGUG